CCUACGGGUGGCAGCAGUGAGGAAUAUUGGUCAAUGGGCGGAAGCCUGAACCAGCCAAGUAGCGUGCAGGAUGACGGCCCUACGGGUUGUAAACUGCUUUUAUACGGGAAUAACGCGCCUUACGUGUAGGGCUUUGCAUGUACCGUAUGAAUAAGGACCGGCUAAUUCCGUGCCAGCAGCCGCGGUAAUACGGAAGGUCCGGGCGUUAUCCGGAUUUAUUGGGUUUAAAGGGAGCGUAGGCCGCAUGUCCAGCGUGCUGUGAAAUGUGCGUGGUCAACCCGGGCCUUGCAGCGCGAACUGGGGUGCUUGAGUCCGCGGAAAGCAGGCGGAAUUCGUGGUGUAGCGGUGAAAUGCUUAGAUAUGACGAAGAACCCCGAUUGCGAAGGCAGCUUGCUGCAGCGGAACUGACGCUGAUGCUCGAAAGCGCGGGUAUCGAACAGGAUUAGAUACCCGAGUAGUC
rnacentral:rRNA from 1 species